rnacentral:rRNA from 1 species
UACGAAGGGGGCUAGCGUUGUUCGGAAUUACUGGGCGUAAAGCGCACGUAGGCGGAUUGGUCAGUUAGGGGUGAAAUCCCAGGGCUCAACCCUGGAACUGCCUUUAAUACUGCCAAUCUAGAGUCCGAGAGAGGUGAGUGGAAUUCCUGGUGUAGCGGUGAAAUGCGCAGAUAUCAGGAAGAACACCCGUGGCGAAGGCGGUUCUCUGGGACGGUACUGACGCUGAGACGCGAAAGCGUGGGGAGCGAACAGG